AUGGGACUGUACAAGGUCCAGAUUGAAUCUAGGCUUGGAGGGAAGAAGACUAAUUCAAGUACUUUCAUUUUAGGUGGCAGAUGGGAAGAACUGAUCUUCAGUGUGAGGAAGAGAAGAGAUAGUGGAAACUGGAACUAUAAAAACCUAUGUCUCUUGGAAGAGAGGAUGUGUCUGAGACACCAACUCAGGAUUAAAGACAAUAACAGGGGAAAGAGGGAGAGGAGGAGUUGAGAGAAAUCAAUCUUCCCUUUUAACUCAGUCAUAAUAGCCACCAGACUCAGAAUGUGGAGUCUUCUUUGCUUAGGAGCUUCUUAUACUCUGGUCUUCCUUUAGUAUCUAGAUAACCUGAGCACUGAAUUCUGGCAGCCAUAUUCCACAGAAAGCUCAAACCUAGGGAAACAACAACCAAUACCACUUUGCCCACAAGGUGAUAAGACAGUCUAUAGUUCUCAGGAUCAGUGAAGGGGAGAAGUGUUACAAGGGAAUCACUUUAAAAGACUGAUAUAUAUUAAUUUAAGGUCGCCAAGGAAUCAGCUAUGUAAUUCCUAAUUGAAAAACUCAAGUCAGCCGUCAGCCUUUUUUGGAGUUUAAUUACAAUAGGAGCAAGAAAGGAAUUAGAGAUAUAUAUAGAGAGAGAAAGGGGAGAGAAGGGAAUAGGGCUUAAAUACCCCUUCUGUUUAGGCUGGGCCAAAAGGCCCAAGCCCUUAGAUAGCUGGGGCAAAGAAAAGAGAUCAGUCCCUAUUACUCACGUGUCCAAAAUGUAGAAACAGUCUCAGAGGCCCCCACCUUCAGCUUCCUUCAGAGCAAGCUUCCUCAGAGCCCAGGAACCACACCACCCAAAAACUCAACCCCCUCCAGUCUCCAGACCCUCCUAUCUUUAAGGACCCCAUCUAAGUUGCCUCCCCUCAGUCCUCACAUCUACCAAUCACUCUUCAUCAAUUUCCCUGUCAAUGGAGGCUCUCGCUUAACCCAGGACCGCCCAGAGGUUUCUGGCUUUUGCACAUGUCUGUUGAAGGUCAUAUUUUUCAAAUGAUUAAAUCUUUACUCCUUUGUUACAGCCCUUUCUAAAUCCUGUUAACUUGAGUAUGGUAGAGAUUGGAAUAAUUAAAUUUUGAUCUAGGCUGCAGCCCUUACUCAAUCCUAUUAGGACUGAAUAGGGUGAAGUAUCUCCAUUGUAUCAAUUCUAAAAUCAAUCAAGACUCAAAGAAAUUCCUGUUCUAUGCUCAAGCAUAGGUCAAAGUCCUUUCCAUUGUUCAGCAAAGGGUUUCUGUCCUAAAGUAAUCUUAAGAAGGGAAGAGAAGGAACCUCCCAUGCCAAUGGAGUUCCAUUCCAAUAGACUAUCAGUAAGAAAUUUUCCAAGUAUGAAAUAUCCCAAUGGUGAAAUUUUCAACAAUUAUAAGUCUAAGGAAAUUUGAGGUUUACAGAAGAGGAAAGCAACCCUUGGAAAUAAUAUAUAGUUCUUUUUUGCUACAAUCCUAUCAAGUAACUUCAUUAUAUUGGGCAUGUAUACUUUCAGAGAUUCCCAGUGAGGGAGCUGCACAAUCAUCUUGUGUAAGUCAGGAUAAUCAGAAAAUGUGUGGCUAGUCUUUUCCUCCCUGAUUUAUCAUCACCCUUAUACAAGAGGAAAACAAUAUUUUGAAAAGAAAAGAGGGCAAGGUAUAGGCACAAAUUACUUUAAUAGGCAUUAAUAGCUCACAUUAAUAUGGCACUGAAGGUUUAUGAAACCCUUUACUUACAACAACUCUAUAAGAGAGGUAAUAUGAAUAUUUUAUGAUGAUCAUUUUAUAGAUAAAAAAAAGGUUAAAAAAGUGAAUUGAUUCACUAAGGAUUAGUCACAUGGCUAGGAAAUGUUAGAGUCAGAAUUCAAAAUGUGGUCUUCUGAUCCCAAGCCCAGAAUUGCAAAGCACAGUUUCUAAACACCAAUGGAUCUCAGGGCUUAGGAUCAGAAGUAAUGAAAGAAAUAAUUAAUUCAGGCUCCUUAACUUUUCUUUUUCUGUCAUGUACCUCUGUGGCAAUUUUAUGAAGUCCAUGAAUCUUUUCUUAGAAUUAUGUUAAUUAUCUAUAUUCAUAAUGAAAGAAAACAUUAAAUUUGUUGUUUUUCAGUUGUUUUCUGUUGUCUCUAACUCUUUCUGACCCCAUUUGAAUUUUCUUGGCAAAGAUACUAAAGUGGUUGGCCAUUUCUUUCUCCAAUUUGUUUUUUAGAGGAGGAAACUUGGGUAAAAAUAGUUAAAUGAUCUCCCCAGGGUUAUAUAUCUAGUGUCUGAAGUCAUAUCUGAACUUCCUGGCUCUAGGUCCAGACGUCUAACCACUGUGCCACCUUGAUGCCUUGCUAAAUUUUAGAUAAACAUUAGUGAAAAUAAAGAUGUAUUAUUUUAAAGUUCA
ensembl:lncRNA